UAUAUAUAUAUAUAUAUAGUUUCUAUAAAAAAAAAUAAAACGUAAAGCUAUUAUAAAAAAAAACUUUGAUUAUAAAACUUGAAGAUUUGCACUCAAAUAAAAUGCAAGUUAAAAAGAUAAAAAAAGUUCGAUAUAAUUAAUAUUUUUGUGAUCGUGUGCCUGUGUGUGUGUAUGUCUAUGCACGCAUGUUUGUUCAAGAAUGAGUGUGUGCGUAUGUGUGUGUGUGUGUUAUAAACAGUCUGCACAAUGUAUUUUUUUUUUUAAUCGCUUACUUAGACGUAUGAUCAAAAGAGGCCAUUUUUUUCAUUCAGAGUGAAUUUUUUUUUUAUUGUAUGAACUGAAUGUGUGAAUGCUUGUGUACGGGAGGAACUGUGUGUAUUACUCCUCUUGUAAAUGUGCAGUAUGUAAGUGAAUGAACGAAUGAACAAAUGAAAGACAGAGAGAGGGGGCAAUGGCACAACACAUCCUCUUUCACCAGCCCUUCAAUUUCCCAACAAAGAAUGACCUCUAGAUUCAAACUCAAAAGCUUUAGCCCAUUUUGCGCCAACCAGCACUCUUAGUUUUCAUGGUAGGAAGGGCAAGAGACAUCUUUUCCUGCCUCAACUCCAUCUUUGCCUCUGUGAGGUUAAAGAACAUGUCAUUAGCGUCAUUGUUUUGUUUGUUUUUGUUGAAGAGCUCAGUCUUGUAUACCUUUAGGAAAUGGUUACUUGUGGUGCGUAUGUUGCGAGUGUGUUUAUUUUCUGUCCCCACGUGUGCCUAAGAACUAAAGUGCGAAUGAUUUAGAUUUCAUUGCUGCCAUUGAGACAUGAUUUUUUUAGCAAAGGGGAGUGGUUUCCGUUGGAAGGCUCCGCCCCUCCACGCCUCCCAUGCUUAUUAAUCAAGAGCCUAUUUCUGUACAGUUCUAUUGUAGCUUGGGGAUGUGCGGAUGAGAGUUGUUUGAUAUUUGGAGGUUGUGACCUAACAUUGCCUUUCUGUCCACUUUCUUGCUCUCGAGUGACUGAGGUUUUGACUAUUUCUGGUUUAAAAAAAAAAUAAAAAUGAUCGCAGCAAACUGUGCAAGUGCACUUAGCAGUGCACAAAAUGUUUAUAUUUUGUUACUUGUUCAUUGUUGUCAACGACAAUGAUGGUGAUUAUUUUUUUUCUUUUAAUGUUAUAUAUGACUAUAUAUGAAUCUGAAUAUAAACAAAGUAUUGGACUACAAAGGAAGAGCACUUGGGGCUGCUACUUUUUUUGUUCGUCUUGGAAUUUUUUUUAAUUAUUUUUUUUGCCACCAUGUGAAGUGCAUUUGUGUACUUUUUUUCUUUCCUUCUUAAAAAGAUGUUGAAUGUAUUCCAAAAUGUAACGGUGUAGAUGGAGUUGCUCAACACAGGAUAUUAAAGUGUAAUCAGCAGGACAUUAUCAGGAGCGAAAUCGAAAAUUGCUCCCGAAAGGCUACCACAAAAACACACUGCCUCUACAAUCCUGUUCAUAAAGACUUUGACUAUGAAAAGGAGAACUUCAAAGAAAUUCUAUUCCAUACUGGAGUUUUGGUUGUUUACAAACCACACGGACAUUUGUGGGUGCUUUUUUCCCCUUUAUUUUUGUGAUUAUUGAAUAUGUGAUUCUGCAGUUUCAGAAUAUUUUUUUGGGGGGGGGGGGGGACUUCAAUGGCAUUAUGUCAGACCCUUUCUUUGCAUGUGGAUAUGAGCGCAGCCUAUAUAACUUGCUGACUGAAACAAACUUGGAUCGCUGGAACACAAGAAAUGGAAUUACAUCAAAGAUUUCUUCUUGUACCUUUAUCUCACGGACAGGGUGUGUUGUUAAGAAUCAUAAAGGCGACCAUAUUUUGUUUAGCAAACUUCUGUUUACUUUUGUCUAAUCUUCUUUUGUAAUGGAUUCAAAUUGAUGAACACAGAAGAAAUGCUUUAUGUACCUGGAAAGAAGGCAAAAAUCAAGACAGCACAGAUGACCUCUUGGUACUGUAAAAUGCAUAUUGAAUGCUUUAUCAUUUUCCCUUGUACCCAAUCUUUUUUUUUUUUUUUUGGCUUGAGGAUUAUUUUGGAUGGACAUGUCUAUGAUGGAUGUUGAUGAGAAGAGCAACUAGAGAACAUAUGUAUGACCUCAGAUCUGCCAGAUAAUUGUUUUGGACGGGGUGUCAUGGCCAUCAUCUUCAUAAGUUAACAAAGGGACUAGCACUGCCCUGAUACCCUCGCAAUGCACUUUUCAUUUGCUCAAAACUGUGAGGAACUUUCACUUGGGCUUGGGGAACGCAGACAGAACGCAAGUUGCCCGUUUCUGUCAGCAGAUGAACGCUUGGAGAGUUUUAGACACCCUUGCAUGAGACUCGUUCUCCUUCCGGUGUUUGUUUCUCAGUCUGCUUGAGAACGUCACCACGCAAGCUACCGUAUAUAGAUAAGGGAAGUUUCAGACACAUUGGGACUUGUGGAAAAAUCAUUGGAGUUUUCCCAUGGAGGAUUUUCACUGAACAAUAUGAUAUUUAAGACUAUACGAACAGUCUCCAAACUUGGUUGAAAUGUGGAGAUUCAGAACCGAUUCACUCAACAGUGUUCUCCGUUAUGCAAAAAGGAUUAAACCGCUCGGUCCAGGGUGCUAGCCAAUGAUUUUUUUGUUGUUGUGUGGACUGGAAUUAUUUCAUCGACUGAGAAAUGCUUAAAAAAAAAAAAAAAAAGACUGGAGGCCAUUUUUUUUUCUUUGAGUGUGUAUUGGAGAUAAAGCUCUACCGCCACCUGCUGACUGCUGACUGCAUGGCUGAAAUUCACCUAUGGCUUGAAGUAGCUACAAGACCGUCUGUUUGAUCUUUGCUGUUCCAGAUCUUCAGAUGAAGACGGAGAUCCUCCAGUGCAUCGUGUUGCAUCCCCCUUAAUUCCUGUUCUCAUCCUUCAGAGAAAGAUCCCAAGGUCAGGAAUUUCAUACAGCACAUGAAAUGACGACUGCAUGACAAGAACUAAAAGCCCAGGAGGAAGUGGAGGGCUGCAGCUUCAUUGCACCGUAUUUGGACUACUCCGAGGAACAUGUUUCUUUGCUAAGAGGAGGGAGUGAACUGUGAAUGCUGGAACAGAGAACUAUGAGAUCUCAAACAUGCACAGAAUAGUUCUGCUCGAGUGCAGCCAGGGUUAAACACUGUGCACACAUUAUUAAUAACUGAAAUACACCUGCACACACACACACACAUCCAAAUAUGAAUUGUUGAUUACACGAACACUGACAUGGCUUAACUACACUUCAUCUCUGGCUGCCUGCCAUGUAAAUAAUGUAUAUAUCCCUAACCCUUUUCCCUUUCUCUGCUGGGUUUCAGGUUUGAUUUUUUUUCUUCUCUUUUAAUGACAUGCCUUAACAGUUCAGAUUUGCCUAUUAAGGCAGACUUAAGAUGUGUAAAGCAAAAAAAAAAAGUGUUAAUAGUCAGCGAGACUAGCUCUGUGAUUGUAGUGUGUGAUUUUAUUUAAUAAACCCUUGAAACAUUA